CUGUCCGUUUUCGGGAACUUCAGGUCGAGCUCCUCUAUAGGAGUCGUUUCUGUCGUGCGGUAUACAUGUUGCGGCGCGACCGGCACGUUGCGGGUAAACACCAUCGUCCAAAAUGCCGGAGUACCUGAAUAGGCGUAGCUGGUAGUCGAGCCGACUUCUGCGACGCAGCGAUGGAGCUCCGCGUAUUGGCUGCCGUUGCACUCACCGCCAUUUUGCUCACAAAAGCAAACGGCACAAAGAAAGGAGAUGACGGCAACUACGAAUCCCUCUAUCUCUCUCCGUACAUCAAGGCGGGUCAGAUCGACGUGGCUAGGAACUUGAGCCGAGUGAAGCUGUUCGAACAACACAUCGAAGCAGAGACUCACUCGGGUUACAUCACCAUCGACAGUUGGAAGAAAAGUAAUCUCUUCUUUCUUCACAUUCGUGCCUUG